rnacentral:rRNA from 1 species
GACAGAGGGGGCAAGCGUUGCUCGGAAUUACUGGGCGUAAAGGGCGCGUAGGCGGGAUGGCAAGUCGGUCGUGAAAUCCUUCGGCUCAACCGAAGAACGUCGAUCGAUACUGCUGUUCUUGAGGAUUGCAGAGGAGACUGGAAUUCCCGGUGUAGCGGUGAAAUGUGUAGAGAUCGGGAGGAACACCGGUGGCGAAGGCGGGUCUCUGGGCAAUUCCUGACGCUGAGGCGCGAAGGUCAGGGGAGCAAACGGG